UUUGAGCCACUGCAUCCCCUAGCGGCGCCCGGGUGGCUGCAGCCGCUGGCCCGAAAAUGCUGCUCGGGCGAGCAGGGGUCAGGCGGGAAAAGAAGACUCCAAAUCCACUCUCUGCUCGCCCCCAGGGCAAUGCUGCCAGGAGAGGGAGUGGGUUCCCCCGCAGGCUAUCCCACCGAUGGGGCUGAGAGCUUAAUUUGGGGUUUUAUUUGAAUUGGAGACAUUGUUCCCUCUUCGCUCCUCUACCCCAUAAAAUUCCCUACAAAUGCAAAAAUUCGAGAUAGAAGAAGCCGUCCCUGAAAGUAAGUUCUGAAGGAUUCCUUUCAUGCGGUGAAGGAACAACAACAAUAUUCAACUUCACCUUGGUGUGUGAGGGUCGUCGUGUUUUAAAACACUAUCCCUGUAGAAAGAUUAGUGAAAUGUAUUGGAAGAAGUAGUGGAAACGUGAAUCUUCCUGGUCUCGCGUUUGGAUCUUCUUUGGAGUCCUCACCUUCUUAAAUCUGAUGUUUGUUUGAAAUCAGGGAAGCUGAAAGAAAAAAUGAAAAAUGCUUCUCCGCGCGUCAAUCGAGGGGUGGAUGCGCCACGCAGCGUGAGCCCAGCUCACAGCCACGCGUAAGACCAAAAGCUGCCAUGGGUUCUGCGCGCGGAGACCUCAGAGCCGAAGAGAGAAGUCCCCGCGUCAGAAACGCUGCGGAUGCCAGGUCUUGAAAAUGCUGACUUCUGAGGCUGGGCCUCGGCCUGGUCUAGCGAGUCCCCUUCCUCCCAAGGAGCAGCCGGCGGAGCUCGGGUGGAGGAAAGCGAGGAGGCGACCAGGAGGAUGCCGCCGCCGCCGCCGCAGGGCCCGGGGCUUCUGCAGGGCGCAAGGCCUCCCUCACCAGGGUAAGGGGCUGGCGAUCAACCUGGACGCCUGGGACCUUGGGAGCAAGCAUCCCGCAGCCGAGCAGGCGACGGCGCGGCCACCGCCUAGAGAGGAGCCGGGGCCCGGGGCGGCGUGCGGGUCGGCAGCAGCCGGCUUGGCCUAUCCGAAACCCCAGGCCUGGAAGCGGCUGCUUUAGGCGUCAAGUUGAGCGGGGUAUGUGUGUCCUCUUGGGAAAAAGGCAGAAGAAAGAAGCGGAGCCGAGCCGAGCCGCCGAGUCCCUCCCCCCGGAGCCCCGGAGCCCCGGCGCCUGCCUGGGCGGUCCCGGCCGCGCAGACAGAAAAGAAGCCGGGAAUCUGCGGGGCUGGGGGGCGGGGAGCGACACCAAAGGCCAGAAACUGCAGCACGGCCCGAGGCCCUGGCGAGCUGGGCCUGGGGGAGGAGAAGUCCCUUCCCAUUCCAGCUCGAUCAAUCUUGCUGGGCUGCGAUCGGUCAAUAAAAACGGUGUGAAGCGGC
rnacentral:lncRNA from 1 species